CCAGGCCCCUGUGGCAGCGACUCAGCAGCUCUUGGCUCAGCUUCCAAGGUGCCACCUCUGGGCUCCUGCUGCCCUUGCUGCUGUUGUCUGCCAGCUGGAGGUGGCUCAGCAGCUCUGGCUUAGCUUCCAAGGUGCCACCUGUGGGCUCCUGCUGCCCUUGCUGCUGUUGUCUGCCAGCUGGAGGUGGCUCAGCAGCUGCUGUGGGAGCAGGAGCACAGAGGGCACUUGGCCUUGGCCAAGCCUGGCAGGCACAGGAGGUGCUGAAGGCUUUGAGAGCCUUUGCCUUUGGCACCUCCUGGUCCCAUCGAAGUGACAAAAGACUCCAGAUUAAGCCUUGGUCUGCCUGAUGAUCCUCCCCCACCUGCCUGUCCACGAGGGCAAGCUGAGGCUGGCACCUCUGCUGGUGGCUACUGCAGUGUGCCAACAGUAAGCCCCCAGCAACAGCUUCACUCCU